UACAGACGUUCUUUUAUUGGUAUUUUUCAUAUACAAUAUAAUAUUUAUAUAUAUUUAUAGUGUGUACAUGAACAGUUUCCACUAAAGUCGUUCUUUUUCUCGUACAGCCGUGAGAACGUCUCGAGGGAAUGAACACUUGAAUAUAGACUUUAAUGUUUCAGUUGCAUAAAAAUACAUCGUCUCAUCCACGUAGACAAGUCCAAGUAUUUACACGUGAACGUGUGACUGAUGUGCUUUUAGUUCCCUUUGUCCUCAACAAUAAAACUCUUAGCAGCCCUUUUGUUAAAGUCGUAUCUCACUCUGGUCCUUCGCCGACUUUCAUAAUUUCAGAAAAAUAAAAACAGGCUUUUUUCUUCAUUACAAAGUUAAAUAUUUAAUGUUGCUGAUGAGCGUGAGUAAAAACUAUGAAACCAGCUGAAGGUCGCUCUCGAUGUUCAUGGAGGCGGAGCCUGUUUACUGAAACACAGGUAUCAGCCAGCUGUUACCAUGUGACUGACAGGGAAGUCUUGGUCACAUGAUCACAGGCGACGCCUCUGCAGUCUGAAAACCCAGUAGGUAAGGCGUAGUUUGUGUGGGCCCUGAAGGUGGCGCUGUGGUGUCAGGCUGAGCCAAAACAUUAUUUCCCACACAGGAUGUUUUGUUUGCUGGAACUCAGAGGACUCCAUCCACUGAUGGAGACUCAGAUGAAGGUGAAGCCUGAGCUGCUGUCAAACUGAAGCUCUACAGUGUGAUGGAGGCGGGGGAACUACAGGGCCCCCCCAGGGUCAUUUCUGACGUUUGACUCUCGGCGCUCUGCCAGAGUGAAAUACUCCUUCAAUACUGAAAAACUUUCAGCAAAUACCUCUGAGAACAGCGCUCACAUCCUCGCCUCUGCAUAAAAAUCUGUCCGUGUCAGGAUGUAACGGAUAACAGCUUCAUGUCCAACACGAAAACCUCCAAUCACACGGGACACGUGCAUCACAUAUAAAAAUAAAAACAUGAUAUUGGACUUCAGACACCUGCAGGACGAGAGUCUCGACAACGAAACACCAAAGACGUUUAAACCAGAGUCCGUCACAUUUCUGUCCCGCUACAUAACACCACCUCUCACCAGAGCUACUGACAGCAUGGGAUGGCGCUUGUGCAAAGUUUAUCUCACACACACACACACACACACACACACACACACACACACACACACACACACACACACACACACACACAGGAAGUUGUCUUAAAGCUACGGUCUGUCUGAACAGCGACUAGAAUUUGGCAGCGUGUCGUGACCUCUGAGGAAAGUCUGUCCUGCUUCAGACGCUUCAAACUGGAAAUGAAUCCUGAUUCAGACAAACUGCAUGAAAAACGCAGCAGAAGAAUCAGUAAAUGUCUGAUUUACAUCUUUUUUGACACGUUUUGCUUUUUUAAAAAGUUAAAUAAUAGUUUAUUUUUUCCUUUUAGACCAGGGGUGGGCACCUUCAGGCCCCGAGGGCCGGUGUCCUGCAGGUUUCAGAUCUCACACCUGAAUCACAUGAUCAGUUCGUUACCAGGCCUCUGGAGAACUGCAGGAGCUAAUUUAGUCAUUUAAAUCAGCUGUGCUGCUUCAAGGACACAUCUAAAACCUGCAGGGACAGGGGCCCUCGAGGCCUGGAGGUGCCCACCCCUGUUUUAGACAUUUUAGCAGGUGAAGACUUUGGUGUGGGCCUGCUCACGAACCCCGAGCCGCCAUGUGAGAGCGUCUGGAACAGGACAGACUCAGAGUCGUGACAAUAAAGCAAGAACAGAAAAAGCAGCAGAACUGGACAGCAUCCUUCCACGAGGUUAUGUCAUCAGUCUCUGAAUGAAAGGACGAUAAAAUGGUCAAACUGUGCAAAGUGGUGACGGCAAAAUAUAAUCUGCCUCUAAAAAAAACUACAAAGCUUUUGUGUCUGCGUCGCCGAUGGCGACCAACGCUCAGCGGGUCUUUCUCUUUAACUGGGAAUAAAGACACUUCAUCAAAGAGCUUAUAGAGACUAUUUACAAACAUGUCUCACUGAACCUCAGGCCUGACCUUUGACCCGACCGCUGCUCCUCCCAAAUGAAGACAUGUUCAGGCACGAUGAGUGAUCGUAGGAAACUGUACAGCACUGUGCAAACGCUGGAAGCAGAACUGCAGCUCGUCCACAUAAAGCAUCGCCUCCGACCUCUGACCUCAGAUUUGUGCUCACAUCAUCACAGGAACAUCAUUAUAUCCAGACCGGUGAACUGGUGCUUCCAGCAGGAAUACCAUAUCACCUUUAUUUAUUGCUGUAAUAUUCUUACAGCACAAACCUGCUCACUGACAUGCGGCGUGAACUUUGAACCAUGCACCACAUGGAUAAUACUUCACGGUAACACCACACGGCACAUACAUCCAAAACCACAUCAAGUCAACUGAUGUUGGUAACUGUUGCUUUGGUGUCAGUGAGCUUUCAUGUAACUAAAUGCUGCUAACGCUGAAGAACUGACCGGCCCCUCUCUUUAUGGGGGCCUGUACCUGCACAGUCUAGCUUCCCCCGUCAAACGGCCUCAGGAAGCACUCAACACUCUAAACUCUCUGUAGGUCAGGUGUGGCUGAUAAAUCAGAGCAGACUCAAGCAAACUAACUUUAGUGGGUUGAGUCAAAGGAGCUUGCAAAGAAAAGCGUCUGGACUUCUUUAAGUUGCUUUAAAAGCAACUUAAAGAAGUCCAGAUGCUUUUCUUUGCAAGCUCCUUUGACUACGAUGACCUGGAUGACUGAGAACCUUCACAGACAUUUAGUGGGUUGAACGAGUUCAAUCAUAAAUGUAUAUCAGAGGAGGAAGAGCACGGCUUCUUUCUGCAGGCCGAAGGAAGGUCAGCGCACACCAGCUGCUCAAAGUAUUCACAUAUAGAUACACUAUUAACAAGAAACCACCUCUUUCCUCUUACUGGAGACCGGCUUAAAAACGGCCUCCAACUGAGAUCUGACAAAACCAGAAGGAUCCAGUCUCACCCAUAACUGGAAGUUUUCAUUAAAACACAAAAAGCCUUCGAAGGCUGAAGUGUUGUUCAGAGGCAGAGCUUCAGCCCACCUUCAUGUGGUUUUGGGAUCGGGAAUGAUCCUUGAUUCGAUGAAGGGCUGUGAGUCCAGAUGAUCAUGAACACUCAUGAAUUCCUCUAAAUAAACCUCAUCAUUUCUAUGUCUUCCUUACAGAAAGAUUUCUGAGAUUUUACAAAAGCAACUUCAGGAAACAAAAGUUGUGCUGAAGUUUCCAAGUUUGAUUCCGAUCCCGUCGAUUGAAGAGGAAAUCAAAUGUUCCUGAAGUGCCUCCGAAGACCGUCCGGACAGCGGUCUGCGUUUAAGUCCUGAAUACAACUCAGGACCUCAUUUGAACUAUCUCAAUAAUAAACUACAGAGAAACAGGAAGUUGAACAUGAACAGCAUCAGCUGAUUGGUCCGUUUGGACAGGAGCCUCCAGGUUUCAUCCUUCCACGAGCCGAGAUCCGUCUUCAACGCGUUUUUAAAGAAAGGAAGCAAAAGAAUGGGACAUCCUCUGGCUUUUCCUUUUUCUUCUUCAGUCCUAAUUUCUGCUCCAUGUUCACGUAAGGAUUACCCACAAACCCCUUCACUCCAAGCUGCGCUUGUUCAACCCGAUUACACAACCAGCGUGUCUUCAGUCCUACAAAGUUUCCCGAGUUUACUUCAUGAUGUCACGAUGACACUGAUGUCGAGUCCUCUCGGCACUGUUUGAUGGCAGUGGGGUGGAGCCACAAAGUGACAUGAUUGUGGAGAUGAAUCUUCAAUCAGCCAAUGGGGACAGCUGGAAAUCUACAGAGGCGGGGCUUACAGGGACACUGGUGGAUGACUGGAACAGAUCUACGAUGUGAUGAAGGUUGAAGUUCCUCCAGCUGCUGACGGGCGGUCUGUGCCCACUGUGACGGGUCGGGAGGUGAGCUGGUCUUUAGUGUCCAGGGUGCUGGUGGGAGGUGAAGGGAGUGAAGGCGGGUGGGGGCGAGAGAGACAGGGGGUGGGACUGAGGAAUGGACCCUCCCACAGGAGGAGAGUCUGCCG
ensembl:lncRNA